GCCAGGGUGGCUCAGUCGGUUAAGCACCAGACUUCGGCUCAGGUCAUGAUCUCACGGUUUGUGGGUUCAAGCCCCACGUCAGGCU
rnacentral:tRNA from 1 species